rnacentral:piRNA from 1 species
AAAGUAACAACGGCAAAAGUAGA